GCUCGGCAAAGUUAAGACUUCCUUCAUAGCGAUCGGAGCGUUAGCGGCCGCCAUGUUGAGGAAGAGAUCGAGAGCUCAGAAUCGGCGAAUCAGAUCUGUGAUCGGAGUCGAACCGCCUAUUUGAGAGAAAGUCAACAGCAAUAGAGAGAUGAUUCAAGUAGCUGAGAGAUCUAGAGCACAGAAGGAACCCUAGAAAUCAGUGAAGAAG
rnacentral:misc_RNA from 1 species